rnacentral:rRNA from 1 species
UGAGGAACAUGACCUUCGGCGGGGGAUAGCCGGCCCAACGGCCGGGUAAUACCGCGUACGACCACAUGGGGACAUCCCUGAGUGGUGAAAGCAGCAAUGCGCCGAUGGAGUGCCUCGCGGCCUAUCAGCUAGUUGGUGAGGUAACGGCUCACCAAGGCAACGACGGGUAGCUGGUCUGAGAGGAUGGCCAGCCCAUAGUUGGGACUGAGAUACCGGCCCAGACCUGUACCGGGGAG